rnacentral:rRNA from 1 species
UACGUAGGGUGCGAGCGUUGUCCGGAAUUAUUGGGCGUAAAGAGCUUGUAGGCGGUUUGUCGCGUCUGCUGUGAAAAUCCGGGGCUCAACCCCGGACUUGCAGUGGGUACGGGCAGACUAGAGUGUGGUAGGGGAGACUGGAAUUCCUGGUGUAGCGGUGAAAUGCGCAGAUAUCGGGAGGAACACCAAUUGCGAAGGCAGCUUGCUGGGACGGUACUGACGCUGAGGCGCGAAAGCGUGGGGAGCAAACAGG